UACGUAGGGUGCAAGCGUUGUCCGGAAUUAUUGGGCGUAAAGAGCUCGUAGGCGGUCUGUCGCGUCGGCUGUGAAAACCCGGAGCUCAACUCCGGGCCUGCAGUCGAUACGGGCAAACUGGAGUGUUGCAGGGGAGACUGGAAUUCCUGGUGUAGCGGUGAAAUGCGCAGAUAUCAGGAGGAACACCGGUGGCGAAGGCAGGUAACUGGACUAUUACUGACACUCAACUGCGAAAGCUAGGGGAGCAAACAGG
rnacentral:rRNA from 1 species